UGGGAUUAUUCAAGGAAAGGAAGAAUGAGUCAGCAAGACUACAAGAGCACAGGGAGUAUAAGUACUCUGGGGCUACUAACUCUUUGGUCCAAUGCCUCACUGCUAGGAACAACACACGGCUGUCCAGUCACAUGGGAGGAGGCCUCCUCAAAAAGAAGAAAGACUUCAGAUAAGAGCAGAUGCCAGGGAAAUGAGCUGUUCUCAGAUAUACAUGUUAAGAAAGAGUGGAUGACAGACACAGCCCAAACGAGAUGGAUGGUUGAGAUAGAGGAAAAGCAGAAAAGUCCCUGAGUGUUACUGCCAGCUACUGGUCAUACACUAAGGGAAACCAAAACCUGCAUCGUGCUGCCUUAUACUACUUCUCACCUAGGCUGGACUUCUCCACAAUGUCUGCUACCUGCAUCCAAGUAGCUGAAUCCUUAAUACAAAUGUUCUUGUCAAGAAUGCUUUAAAAGAGCACUCAACAAUCACAGAGUCUGAGAUAAGCCCAUGGCUGAACCACCAGUUAUGGACUAAAUCUCUCGAUUGAGAGCCUAGAGAAGCAAAGAAGGCGGCUGCCCUUGGCACGGAAAAGCCUCAGCAUCUCUUGCUGUGACUAGAAGUCUCUGGGAGGAAUGAAGUACGCAAGUACGUAGGAACCAGAAGAGAUUUAUUCUUCCUCAUCUCUCUAUUAAAAAAUCCCAUUCCCCAGAUGUUUCAUAACCACUGUACAACUGCCAAGAUGGAAGAAAAAAGAUCACUACAUCUAAUAAGAGACUAAGUGGAAGAGAGAAGGGAAGCAAGGGAGUUUUAAGAGAAGAGGUGGAAGAGGAAAUUGUAAAGCCAGCUCCACCUUCCAACAGGGAGAUCAAAGGACAAAAUAAGCUGUUCAGGUAAAUACAGGAUUAUCUGCAGCUUUUAAAGAAUCCAAAAGAAGGGAGGCUGAUGAACUCACUUUCUAGGGAUAAAAGCAGAGAUUCCUCAAAGACCAUUUAAGUAUGAAAGAAGCUGGAAAAUUACAUUCAAUAUUCCAAUGUCAGCAAGGACGAAUAGAAGCAAUGGGAAGUUGAUAGGGAAAAUUAUUAAUGAAGAGAGAGACUUUCCUGGAAAGAAGACAUCUCGAAAAAAGCUUCAGAAAGAAAAAUCCAAUAGAGCUGAGGAGGUGGAUCUGAUAAGGCUACACCCAUUUGUCCUUAUUUUUGCCACUGCAGUCUCUGGAACUUGUUGCCCAAAUGAUUCCUUGUUAUCCAAUAUCUCAGUAGGAUUCAAAACAUCUGGGAACUCUGCCAUUUUUCUUAUGAAGCACAAAGAUCUAAUUCUUAGUUUUGCACCUGAGGUGAUAUAAUUGUGGAUGUUUUCAUCAUUCACCUAAGUUAGGAAGAAACUUCAUCAUAAGCUCCAAGGCAAAAAAAUGGAGAGUCGGUGAAGACCAAGAAGGAGCUUUUUAGAGAAUGCAGAGAAUGUAGAGAGUAGUGGUCCUGCAAAAUCAAGUGACUCCACAAGGACUACUGCUAGACACAGUUCCCAGUGGUUAUGAAGCCACAGCUAACUCCUCCAUCCACCUGUUGCUGCUCCAGGACCUCCUCAACAACUGUUCUAAAAAAUCUGGCUAUGUAUGCAUUGUAAGCAAGUAGUAGUUCUUCAAAGGAAACAGGAAUAAUGAGUUGAUGAUAUGUGAUCUUAAGUCUACAGACUCAACCACCGCACACCAGCUGGGGCUCCACUCACUCCAAGCACUGAGACUUUUAAAGGACUCUACUAAACAUAAAAAUGCUAAAGAGUGGGGAAGAAACAAGGGUUUCCCUUCCUUUUUUUUGGAGCUGAUCACUUCCAUGACAACAUACCGUCUGUGGGUUAUGAGACAAUGAAACAGAGACUUCUUCCUCUUGAUGAUGUUCACGGUUCAUUCUAGGCUAAGAUUCUGUUUCUAGCCCAGUCUGGGGUCCCUCUGGCUGUAAGUGUCUCCAGAGUCAAUGGUUUCUUUCAGCAUUUCAUCAUCAUCCUCUCUUCUGCAGGACACGGUCCCUUAUAUACAAUAUAACACAGAGGUCUUUUCUCUUCCUGCUGUCUCUGCCCUCCCUGCAGGAAUGACAGGCAGUUCCAUUCCUUCCAAGAAAAGGGGGGGUAGGGGUGCAGUUUUUCUCUAAAUCAAGCAACAGGAUGUAAAAUAGCACCUUCGGAGUAAGGCAGUGUGGUAACACCCUCCUAGAGAGACCUUGCUCCUUUCUCUGAAGCAGUUGAAAGGAGCUGAUUAUUCAUCGGGCUGGCUUGUACCCAUAAUAUCAACAAUUUAAUUAACAGAAUGCAUUUCUGCUCCUCCUAAAUCAAAAUAAAUCUGUGGGGGUCUUUAAAUAGGUUUAAACCAAACCCAUCCUUAAAGGCAAAGCAAAACACAUAUAAAAAAUUUAAACCCACCUGUAGAAGUGCGUGUGGAAUUUUCACCAGUUCAGAUAAUCCAUUAUUUCUUACUUUCUCAGAUGAAAUGAAAUCACUGUUCAGCAGUGGAUAGGACUGAGAUGAUUCAGACCCAAUUUAUUUUUAUUACCAUUGUUACAUUCAUUCCUGGCCACUUACACUGAAAUCAUUACAGGCAUCUCUAGGUUUAUGUAAUUAGAAAAGAGACAUAAAGUCAAGAUUUUUGACUGCUGAAAUGGAAUUGCUUUCCAUUAACCUAGCUUGGCAGAAACAUGUAAGUAUGGUGCAUUUAGAUGGCACUGUGGUUUAGGCAUGGAAAGCCUACCUUUCAAAAUAUUCUGCUAUAAUCUUUCAUCUAUAUGGCAUAGUCAUUUGGGUAGAAAAUUACCCCAUGCAUCAGUACAUGUACCUGAGGAGUAAUCAUGUUGGAGCAGCUCUGCAGAAAAGAACCUGGGCUUCCAGUGGACAGUAAGAUGAACAUGAGCCAGGAAGAGGCAAUGAAAGCCAACAACAUAUUGGGCUGCAAUUGGAAGAAUAUGGCCAGCACAUGGAGGGAAGAGAUUAUUCACAUUUUUCUGGCACAAAUGAAGCCACAUCUGGAACAUUGCAUCCACUGUUGCAGUCCCCCAUAUGUAAGAUGACAACAACCUCAAGAGGAACACAUGAUGUCCAAGGAGAGGCUGAGGGAAUAAGGCCUGUGCAGCCCAGCAAAGAGAAGGCCAUGGGGGAUCUAACAGAUGACUGCAGCUAGCUAUUAGGGGGCUACAGAGGCAAGAGAGCCAGAGUCCUCCCAGAAGGGCACAGUGAAACAGUCACAUUUGCAUCAAAGGAAAUUCUGCUUGUCCAUGAAGAAAAAAAAAGCUUCUUCGCACAAACGUGGUUUGGCUCUAGAACACCCGUCCUGAGAGGCCGGCAGGUCUUCUUUCUUAGAGAUAUUCGUAUGUUGUCUGGAAAAGGCCAUGACCAGCCUUGUCUCAGUCUGGAGCUAUGUGCUAGGAGCACAGUGUUGGAAUUGAGCCCCUCAGUGGUCCCCUUCCAUCAAAAUCUUUCUUUGAGUCUAUGAUUGUCUUCAUCUAGUAUUGACAGGAGAAGAACUGUAUGUACCUGAGAAGCUUCGCUGUCACAAACUGAAAUCUUUGUGGAGUUUGGGCUCCUUCAAGGCCACUACCUGGGAUUCUGUAGUGUGACAAUUUUGAAAUUAAGCAGAACUUAAAUGUCAAAGUUGUAUUUAAGUAUUUUUGCACUUUUUUUUUAAAUCUGUCAUGUAACUUCUGGGAAUUAAAGCUAUGACUGUGGAGUUUGUCCUCUUUAGUAUCUCAAUCACUUCCUUAACUUUAAACUUUAAAACUUCUUUUUAAUUUCAACUUUUUGCCCUACACUUGUUUUGUUUAAGAUACUGCAAGCAAUUCAGGGCACAGAAUGUCCUUAAAGCCCCUACAAAACUGAAUUCUGAGUCUACCUGGAAUUUCUAGAUACUUUUCUAUAAUAAUGAAUAAAACAACAAUGCUGAAGACUCUCUGUGGCAUGUUCUCUCUGCAGGUGGAAUAGGAGUAAAAUCAAGGAGCUGAUUAUUUUAUAAUUCCACCUAGCAAAUUGAGCAGAUUAUUAGUGGAAGUAAAUCUUGACAGUGAAGAGUCUGUUUUAGUCAAAUGCUUUGCCGUGUGAGAUUGCUCCAUCUAGCAAAUUCUUUGAGAAUUUCAGAACACCAACUGAUUAACUCAUGUGUAGCUUCUCUUUGUGUUAUAAAAUAAAAUCCAGGGGUUUAGGUGCUUUUAAUUUAUAUUUGUUCUCUGCUCUAAUCCAGUCUGCAGGAGAAAAUCUGCUACCUCAGCGACAAAGCAAAAAUAAUUGCAAGGAAUUAUUUUGACAAGUCUGUUCUAACUUUCUCAUCUUCAGAUGGUCCUUUCCUGCUGCUGGACUGGAAGAGAACAUAGGUGAAUCAGCACAGACCCAAUGUGCUGUAACCAAUAUCACAUAGCCAGCAGUAUAUGCACUAAUAUUUUUUUCACCAUAGUGCCCAGCCUUACACUGAAAUAAGUAAAUUAUUGUUUCAGUUUGUCUGUGUGUAGAUAAGCUGUCAUUUAUUAAUAUGCAACUUACCCCUCCCCACAAGGUUUCAACACACGCCUACACAUUACCUCCAAAACAUGGCUCACCAAACAGGGGAGCUUUAGCUGGAGCGAGGUAUGCAUCCCAGUGCCAGAACACACGGCAAUAAGAAAAACAACAAGCAGGAGAAGAUGAGAAUAUGCAUGUCAAAGCGACUCCAUACUUCCUCCUCUAGCCCACACCUUUCAGGUUCCCAGCAUUUUCAGUGCAUCAGCUUGCAGCCAAAUUCAUAACAGAUUAAUAAAAGCUGCAUGUUGGCAUUAGUGUUUGCAUGUCUUAAGUCUGCAGUGUGUUAGAGAGAUGAACCUUCUCCCUCGCUGCAGAGUUCACCCCUGCUGUCCUCCCGCACAGUCUCUCUUUUUUUUUUUUUCAGUAAACACCUGCAAGGCUUUGGGACUGGUCUGUCUUAGCCCAAGUUUGUAUAAAGAGUUUCUUGGAAUCCAGUUACAGUUAAUGAAUCACAUCAUAUCAGUUUCUAUCAGCAACUGCAGCAUACUUGAGAGGAUGUUCCCCUCAGUCUCUAGAAAAAAAGGACCAUCCCUGGGCUUGCCUAUCCGUACCCAGGAACAGCCAGCCUGCUCCAAAGAGAGCAAGAGAGACAAUAAAUUUGCCAAGGAAGUACACUGGGAAGCUCAGUGUAACCUGGAGCAAUCUGGACAAAAAACGGAAAUGGCUGAGACAUGUACCAGGAAGCCUGGAGAAGGGGAAUGGCCAGACCCAGCGACAGAUGAGGAAACGGUGCUCUCAGCCCAGACAGCCCUGCGGCUCUGACGUGAUGGAGAGAUGCAAAACUUUUCAGCAGGCCAAAAAUAAUGUUCAAACAGCACGAAGUAACUAGGCAGUGGUAAAAGAGA